rnacentral:pre_miRNA from 1 species
GGGGGUAGCGCUGGAUCCUGGGCUGUGUCCCCGUGGAGCCCUGAGCUCCAGGGCCUGCACCUCUGGAAUCGUGCUUCUGGUACUGCGCAGCCCCCU